AGAGUUUGAUCAUGGCUCAGGAUGAACGCUAGCGGGAGGCCUAACACAUGCAAGCCGAGCGGUAUUGUUUCUUCGGAAAUGAGAGAGCGGCGUACGGGUGCGGAACACGUGUGCAACCUGCCUUUAUCUGGGGGAUAGCCUUUCGAAAGGAAGAUUAAUACUCCAUAAUAUAUUGAACGGCAUCGUUUAAUAUUGAAAGCUCCGGCGGAUAGAGAUGGGCACGCGCAGGAUUAGCUAGUUGGUGAGGUAACGGCUCACCAAGGCGAUGAUCUUUAGGGGGCCUGAGAGGGUGAUCCCCCACACUGGUACUGAGACACGGACCAGACUCCUACGGGAGGCAGCAGUGAGGAAUAUUGGUCAAUGGGUGCAAGCCUGAACCAGCCAUCCCGCGUGAAGGACGACUGCCCUAUGGGUUGUAAACUUCUUUUGUAUAGGGAUAAACCUACCCUCGUGAGGGUAGCUGAAGGUACUAUACGAAUAAGCACCGGCUAACUCCGUGCCAGCAGCCGCGGUAAUACGGAGGGUGUAAGCGUUAUCCGGAUUUAUUGGGUUUAAAGGGUCCGUAGGCGGACUUAUAAGUCAGUGGUGAAAGCCUGUCGCUUAACGAUAGAACUGCCAUUGAUACUGUAAGUCUUGAGUAUAUUUGAGGUAGCUGGAAUAAGUAGUGUAGCGGUGAAAUGCAUAGAUAUUACUUAGAACACCAAUUGCGAAGGCAGGUUACCAAGAUAUAACUGACGCUGAGGGACGAAAGCGUGGGGAGCGAACAGGAUUAGAUACCCCGGUAGUCCAA
rnacentral:rRNA from 1 species